UUUAAAUCCUCCCUCUCGGACCUGCCUGCGACCAGGCACAAAUCGGUGCAGGCAAAGUUUUGCUGCAAUAGGUCCUUGCUCUGUCAGAUGAAGGUCUCACCUGAAAAAGGCCGAGGCUAGCAACAUGUGGUAAGAUACUCUCUCACUAUGCUGGGCAGCAGCAGGAGCCUCAGCUCACAGUCAGCCACAGGAUCACAAAGAGGGUUUCUUGUACCUGAGAGGACAGAACCUGAUGAGAUGCUGUCUGGUGGUAACCCGGGCCCUGGCUCAAUACCGUCUAACACUUUGAAACAGUGCCCUCCCAUUUUUCCAAGGCAGACUUAAGGGGAAGUUCUGGGAGAACAAGG
rnacentral:lncRNA from 10 species